UACGUAGGGUGCAAGCGUUGUCCGGAAUUAUGGUGCGUAAAGAGCUCGUAGGCGGUCUGUCGCGUCUGCUGUGAAAACUCGGGGCUUAACCCCGGGCCUGCAGUGGGUACGGGCAGACUAGAGGCAGGUAGGGGAGAAUGGAAUUCCCGGUGUAGCGGUGAAAUGCGCAGAUAUCGGGAGGAACACCGGUGGCGAAGGCGGGUCUCUGGGCCAUUACUGACGCUGAGGAGCGAAAGCGUGGGGAGCGAACAGG
rnacentral:rRNA from 1 species